CCUACGGGAGGCAGCAGUGAGGAAUAUUGGUCAAUGGACGAGAGUCUGAACCAGCCAAGUAGCGUGAAGGAUGACUGCCCUAUGGGUUGUAAACUUCUUUUAUAUAGGAAUAAAACGUGGCACGUGUGCCUUUUUGCAUGUACUUUAUGAAUAAGGAUCGGCUAACUCCGUGCCAGCAGCCGCGGUAAUACGGAGGAUCCGAGCGUUAUCCGGAUUUAUUGGGUUUAAAGGGAGCGUAGAUGGGUUGUUAAGUCAGUUGUGAAAGUUUGCGGCUCAACCGUAAAAUUGCAAUUGAUACUGGCAGUCUUGAGUACAGUAGAGGUAGGCGGAAUUCGUGGUGUAGCGGUGAAAUGCUUAGAUAUCACGCAGAACCCCGAUUGCGAAGGCAGCAUACUGGUGCACAACUGACGCUCAGGCACGAAAGCGUGGGUAUCGAACAGGAUUAGAUACCCGUGUAGUC
rnacentral:rRNA from 1 species